GACGAACGCUGGCGGCGUGCCUAAUACAUGCAAGUAGAACGCUGAAGAGAGGAGCUUACUCUUCUUGGAUGAGUUGCGGACGGGUGAGUAACGCGUAGGUAACCUGCCUUGUAGCGGGGGAUAACUAUUGGAAACGAUAGCUAAUACCGCAUAACAAUGGAUGACACAUGUCAUUUAUUUGAAAGGGGCAAUUGCUCCACUACAAGAUGGACCUGCGUUGUAUUAGCUAGUAGGUGAGGUAAUGGCUCACCUAGGCGACGAUACAUAGCCGACCUGAGAGGGUGAUCGGCCACACUGGGACUGAGACACGGCCCAGACUCCUACGGGAGGCAGCAGUAGGGAAUCUUCGGCAAUGGGGGCAACCCUGACCGAGCAACGCCGCGUGAGUGAAGAAGGUUUUCGGAUCGUAAAGCUCUGUUGUAAGUCAAGAACGGGUGUGAGAGUGGAAAGUUCACACUGUGACGGUAGCUUACCAGAAAGGGACGGCUAACUACGUG
rnacentral:rRNA from 1 species